rnacentral:rRNA from 1 species
UGCAUAUCAAUAAGCGCGGAGGAAAAGAAACCAACAGGGAUUGCCUCAGUAACGGCGAGUGAAGCGGCAAAAGCUCAAAUUUGAAAUCUAGCACCUUCGGUGUUCGAGUUGUAAUUUGAAGAUGGUAACCUUGGGUUUGGCUCUUGUCUAUGUUCCUUGGAACAGGACGUCAUAGAGGGUGAGAAUCCCGUCUGAUGAGAUGCCCAUUCCUAUGUAAGGUGCUAUCGAAGAGUCGAGUUGUUUGGGAAUA